rnacentral:tRNA from 1 species
AGGAAACUUAGGAUCACUUAAACCGAAGGCCUUCAAAGCCUUAAACAAGAGUUAAACCCUCUUAGUUUCCG